GACCUGGGGGCGGAGCCGGCCUCUGACCCCGCCCCUAGGCCCCGCCCCUAGGCCCCGCCCCGCCCCCGACGGGGCGCACGGGCGGCCUCUCCCAAGGGCGGCGGAAGCGGAACAGCCGAGGGCGGUUUACGGGAGGUGGAGCCGCGAGUCACCGCUGUGCGGGCGUCCAGGGGUCCCGCCCAGACGGCCGGACGUCUGGGCCCAGGGAAGGGGACGAGGCCACCAGGCUAUGAGAAAGAAGGCCGAAGCCACCCAUAAACUUGGAGCGCGUGGAUUUGGAGGAGGCAGAGCCCGGUGCCCUUGGCCCCCGCAGGAGGCGGCAGAGGAAAUGAGCUCACGCUGACCGGCAGGCUGUCCUCCCCCACAGUGCGCGGCACACCUCCCCCACUUCCCAGAAAGCGGCCCCCCACCCUCCGCCCUCCACCUCUUCCUGCGCCUUCGCUGCCCCCCUGCCCGCUCACCGUCCACCUUCUCCAGCCCCUCCUUCCUGCCACUGCUGCCCCGCUCCCAAUGCCCACCCCCUAUAUCCUGCUGUCACCCCAAAACUGCUUCACCCCUGUGUGUUCUUUCCCUGGGGCUUGGGGCUGAGAGCCGGGCUUGGAGGGGAUGUAUCCUGUCCCGGCCCCUAGCCUGGUCACCUGCCUUCAUUCACAGUGCUUCUGGGGAGCCCUAAUAGAGCCCGCGGAGUCCAGGGGAGCAGGCCAGGGCCCUGCUGCAAGGGACAUCACAUGGACAGGCAUGCGAGAUGCAGGGGUGGAGUCCAGGGGACCAAGCUGCUGUGCCUGUGCUCGGGGAGCCCAGAGUACCAGGGCUGAGAAUCAAGGCAGAGGCAGCAUCCUCAGGAGGGAGAGGAGGAGGGAAGGGCGGUGGCCCCAUGCCUGCACCUGCUGCUCAGAGAACAAAGCCAACCAUGAUGCAAUCCUGGCCCGAGCCGGCACUGGCCCGAGGGUGGAGACCGGUGGGCAGCAGAGUGGACACAGGGGCCCGUGGAGCCUGACCCUGGCCUCACAGCCCAGCGUGGGGCUCCAGCAUCCAGGCCCCUGGCCCAGAAGGUGGAGAUCCCAGGCCAAGGGCCAAGGGGAUGAAGCAGCAUUCCUGACAAAGGCGCUGACCUGGCAUCCGGAAGUCACCAUCUCUUCAGCCGUGCCAGCCUGUGGGGAGAUGAGCAGGACACAGGCUCUGUCCUCACAGAGGUCACCGAGGCCGGCAGGCAGACGCAGGCGGGAGAGGCCUCACAGAGGCAAGAGCCACUUGUUGGCCGGAAGUGAACAGUGA
rnacentral:lncRNA from 1 species